AUUGAACGCUGGCGGCAGGCCUAACACAUGCAAGUCGAACGAGUGGCGGACGGGUGAGUAAUGUCUGGGAAACUGCCUGAUGGAGGGGGCUAACUACUGGAAACGGUAGCUAAUACCGCAUAACAUCGUAUCUGCCCAGAUGGGAUUAGCUAGUAGGUGUGGUAAAGGCUCACCUAGGCGACGAUCCCUAGCUGAUCUGAGAGGAUGAGCGGCCACACUGGAAAUGAGACACGGUCCAGACUCCUACGGGAGGCAGCAGUGGGGAAUAUUCGUCAAUGGGCGCAAGCCUGAUGCAGCCAUGCCGCGUGUAUGAAGAAGGCCUUCGGAUUGUAAAGUACUUUCAGCGGGGAGGCGUUACCCGCAGAAGAAGCACCGGCUAACUCCGUGCCAGCAGCCGCGGUAAUAC
rnacentral:rRNA from 1 species